rnacentral:rRNA from 1 species
AUACGGAGGGUCCAAGCGUUAUCCGGAUUCAUAGGGUUUAAAGGGUUCGUAGGCGGAUAAAUAAGUCAGUGGUGAAAUCCCGAAGCUCAACUUCGGAACUGCCAUUGAAACUGUUUAUCUUGAAUUUAGUUGAAGUGGGCGGAAUAUGACAUGUAGCGGUGAAAUGCAUAGAUAUGUCAUGGAACACCAAUAGUGAAGACAGCUCACUAAGCUAAUAUUGACGCUGAUGAACGAAAGCAUGGGUAGCGAACAGGAUUAGAAACCCUAGUAGUCC